rnacentral:rRNA from 1 species
CAGUCGCCGCGGGAAUACGAAGGGGGCUAGCGUUGUUCGGAUUUACUGGGCGUAAAGCGCACGUAGGCGGACUUUUAAGUCAGGGGUGAAAUCCCGGGGCUCAAACCGGGAACUGCCUUUGAUACUGGAAGUCUUGAGUAUGGUAGAGGUGAGUGGAAUUCCGAGUGUAGAGGUGAAAUUCGUAGAUAUUCGGAGGAACACCAGUGGCGAAGGCGGCUCACUGGACCAUUACUGACGCUGAGGUGCGAAAGCGUGGGGAGCAAACAGGAUUAGAUACCCCUGUAGUCCCUGUCUCUUAUAA